rnacentral:misc_RNA from 1 species
UUCUAAUUUUGGAGGAAAAACCCGAAAGCAUCUAAUAUUUCUUUUUCUUUUUUUAAUUAAAAAAACCCCUAAAAUGUUACAAUAGAUUUAUAGAACUGUUACCAAUCACCACCACUGAUGAACAAGAAUUCCACUCUCUCUCAAAGAAGUAAACAGCCCUAAGCAUUGUCCAUAAGUUUUCUCAUAUUUGGUGCUCCUCUGUCCAGGGCAACAUCUUUGCCACCUAUUGUAAUGGCAUUCAAGAAAGAUUUCAUCAAUCAAACAAAUAGCUCCAGUCUUAAACAGCCGCGGUAUCAAAUCAAACUCAGUCCCUUCUACAUCCAUUUUCAUCACCACAAAGUCCUUCUCUGUUACAGUCUUCUUCAACCACAUUGCAAAAUCAAAGCCCUGUAUCUCAUCCACCUCUCCAUUAAAACUCUCAUCAUCCUGUUUUGACAAUUUUACUGACUGAAUUCUCCCCAUUCCUCUCCCUUUAUCCUUGACUUCCUGACCAGGGUCGUGAUUAAUUUCGAAAGACAACGUCUCAUUCCUCACCCAAGCUGCAUAUGGCAAUAAUGUAACCCCUUUCUUCACCCUAUACUCUUCAUGAAAAGUCUUAUCAGCCUCAAUUGCAUACACAUCAAAAGUCCUAUUCUGUUUUGGAUAUUGCUUCCUGAACCAACUGCCAAUACUAGAGCCGUAACUCCUAGCUCCAACAUCAACAUAAACGUAUCUAUUCUUAAAGCUUAUAUCAACCAUUGAUGGCAAAUACUUUACGUUCUUUAUAUUCCGUUUCAAUGUAAUCCAUGGCUUCAAAGGCUCUUCUUUGAUCAACGGCUCCGCAUUACGGACCAAGUCCCUCUUAUGCUCAGGGACAGAGCACUUAUUCACCGAAUUGACGCCGGGCUCCUUCACCCCACGGCCAAAAAUUCCACUGUGUUUUUGCAGAAUAAUUUCUCUAAUGUAAGGCAUGGAUGAAUCAUAACCAUCUAUAUUAUGAGAUUUUAUCAAUUUGCAAGAAUUGAACAAAUCAAGGAAUGAAUUGAAGCUAUACGUAUCUUUUGCCCUCACGUGGACCACCACAAACCCUUCGGGUUUCAGCGUCCGUGAAAUCUCCGAUGCCAGAUCCAACGGCCGUGACGCUUUGUCUAAGCCGCCCUGACCGGAGAAAACGAAAUCAAAGGUAUCGUCAUCGAACGCUAUGCGAUUCGUUUUACUGGAGAUUACCAAAGGCUUAAAAGCUUUCUUGAAAAUUCCAACCGAGUCCGAAACGCCGAUCUCUUUCAAGGCAUAGACGUCCUGUCCGUUUGGUGUUUCAACGCACAGGGACUUGGAGUUCGGAGAGAGGUAGCCUUCUGUGAUUAGAUCUUGAAACACCGAGGAGUAAAAAUGAACGGCCUUGAUCCAGUCUUUGCUAGUGUAUAGAUCGGGUUGAGUAGGACCCGCCGGCCUAACCACUCUGUUCACCGCCGAAGCGCGGGCCCCGCUCCCAGCGAUGAUGAAGCUGAAGUUCUCCGGCAGGGAGAAAAAGCAGAAGUCUCCAAUAUUACAAGACUCACCGGCUAUAGUGACGACGAAAGCAAAUCGAACGAUGAUGAUCAAAACGCCAAAUAAAAGCACACGCGCCAUUACAUUCCUGAGAAAGCUAUGCUUGCCGGUGGUAGGCUCCAUGACUGUCACUCUAUACAGCUUUAAGCAACAAAUUUAAAAAAAAAUUUAAAAAAAUGCGUUUUAUACGAUGCGAAAAUAAAUCUAAAAGUAAUGAAUCGCGUCAAAAAGACAACGGUUAACGGGAGCAGAAGCGGGCAGAGGUAUGGUUGGCCCCGAGGAAAAUUCUUCUCUGUAAGAGAGUAGUGGAAAUCGGAAAAUAAAGAAAAACAGGAGGGGCAAAACUUGAAAACAUGGUGGGCUUUUGGGUUGAUCAGAAGAAGGAGGAGACGAGAGUUUCUCUUAUGGAGCGGAGGGAAGAGAGGGCAUCGCUGGGGUAAGAGUGAGUGAAUUGGGAGAUUUUGAUGGUUGCAACUCUGCUAGAUAUGAAGAUAAAAACGGAGACCUGAUGUUAG